CAGGAGGCUAGGCCGGGGGGUUGGGGGUCCCCUGUAACCGGAAAUCCCCCUUAUGCCGGGGCCGAAGCCCGAGGGCGGCUAUGUGCUGAAAGGAAGUCCUGCAGGUGAACAAUGAAAUUCCGUCCCGUGGAGUCGUAGCCGUGGCGAACCGGUCAGGCCCGGAAGGGAGCAGCCGUAAGCCACGAGCUACGAUGUUCACGGGGGUGCGGAAUGGAGGAAGCCUGCAGGGGCGCUUCCUUUCAGCACAUAGUCCACCGAGGGCGCGCCUCCUG
rnacentral:SRP_RNA from 1 species